AGCUGCCGCCCAUGCUGCAGUGCCACUGUCCCUGAGGGGAGCUGCUUUCUUCUGUAGGAAGCCAGGAAGGACGUAGACAAGCAGGGCAUGGAGGGUGCCCCAAGAGCCAGCCAUCCUUCCUCAGCCCAGUGACAACCUGGGAGAGGACACUACUGAUUUUUGUGAGUUGAUUUUGUAACUGCUUGCAAAGAUUUCAGUGUGCUGCAACAGUGAGCUCAGGUUGGCCCUUGACUCAGGGGCUCUGAGCUCACAAAUGCUGUGGACUCAAUACAGAAAACAGCAAUGAUCACUCAAACAUGAACGGUUACCCUGACUCAAGCCAACCACUGUGUGAUCUCUGACCCCAACCCACCAUCACUGGGGAUCAGAGACCCUGCCUGAACCCCUGAGAGGCCCAUGUGGGUCACUGUAGGAGAGCAGCCAAGCUAUGGUGGAGACUCCUGGGAGUCGAAAAUGCCAGUAACAUGGAACCCCUGCCCAGCAGAGAUGCAGGCAGUAAGCAGAGCCAGCCCAGCCCAGAGGUGCGGAAGACUCAGCAGCAGGGGGCCCAGACCCUGUGGAGCUCCCAGCUCAGAAGCCAUGCCUGGAGCUAAAGGACUCAGUGCUUCCCUGACAGGUUUUGGUUUCUUGUCUCACCACAGGCCUGAAAACAACAGAGCCCUCUGAACAUGGACUGAAACCUUUGAAGCCAUGAUCCAGAAUUAAUCCUUCCUCUCUGAGUGGAUCACUCCCAGGCAUUUUGUCACAGCCGUGGAGAGCUAAGAGAGGUCCAGCGUCAAACUUUCUCCACCAAACUGGUCAUGUUUUCCACGAGUUCUUCUCUGAGGACAUACAACCUUUAACAUCUGAGGCAGUAGGCAAGAAAAUUUAACCUUAGCAUCACACUUUGUGUCCAGAAUUCUCCACACUGUGAAUUCGGAAGCUUGAUUCUUGGGAAGGCAACCGUGGAUUCCCUCUGAAUGUGUCUCAUGUGUGACUGUGGGACUAUAAAACAUCACCAGCCAGAGACGGCAGGGAGAUCAUUUACAAGAGUGUUUGUGAUGGGCUGGGGAUUUAGCUCAGUGGUUCCGGUGCCUGCCUUGCAAGCGCAAGGUCCUGAGUUCGAUCCCUGGUACCAAAAAAAAAAGAGCGUUUGUGAAAAGAAACAAAUUUAUUAAAAUUUUGUCCCAGAACUAUGGAAUUCCUCUCAUCAGCACAUACUUCCAAGACUGUUACACAUUGCAAGGUAAAUAUCUCUGAUAGUCUCAAACACAUAACAAAAUGAGAAAAUAGUACAGAAUCAUCACUUUUGUCUUCAACUUCACUGCUGCCUGAACCACAUCUCCCACUGAGCGCGUUCCAGCCAGGAGAGGAUGGGGAGAGAAUGCCCUGCACAGACAGAACUAAUUAUCCAGG
rnacentral:lncRNA from 1 species